GACAGAGGUGCCAAGCGUUAGGCGGAAUCACUGGGCUUAAAGCGUGUGUAGGCGGAUGUCUAAGUACCUUGUGAAAUCCCACGGCUCAACCGUGGAACUGCUUGGUAUACUGGAUGUCUUGAGCAGUUCAGGGGCAGAUGGAACAGACGGUGGAGCGGUGAAAUGCGUAGAUAUCGUCUGGAACGCCAAAGGUGAAGACAGUCUGCUGGGAACUUGCUGACGCUGAGACACGAAAGCCAGGGGAGCGAACGGG
rnacentral:rRNA from 1 species